UACGUAGGGUGCGAGCGUUAUUCGGAAUUACUGGGCGUAAAGCGUGCGCAGGCGGUAAGUUACGUCUGAUGUGAAAGCCCCGGGCUCAACCUGGGAAUGGCAUUGGAAACUGGCUUGCUAGAGUGUGGCAGAGGGGGGUGGAAUUCCGCGUGUAGCAGUGAAAUGCGUAGAGAUGCGGAGGAACACCGAUGGCGAAGGCAGCCCCCUGGGCCGACACUGACGCUCAGGCACGAAAGCGUGGGGAGCAAACAGG
rnacentral:rRNA from 1 species